rnacentral:rRNA from 1 species
UAGCCGUAAACGAUACUCGCUAGGUGUCGGCCACGGUGCGACCGUUGUCGGUGCCGUAGGGAAGCCGCGAAGCGAGCCACCUGGGAAGUACGGCCGCAAGGCUGAAACUUAAAGGAAUUGGCGGGGGAGCACAACAACGGGUGGAGCUUGCGGUUUAAUUGGAUUCAACGCCGGAAAUCUUACCGGGACCGACAGCAACAUGAAGGCCAAGCUGAAGACUUUGCCGGAUUAGCUGAGAGGAGGUGCAUGGCGUAGUCGUGU